rnacentral:lncRNA from 1 species
UAGCAGAAAACUGCGGAGCGGUGAAAUUUCCUCAAAAUUUCUAGAAGAUAGCAAAAUCUUGUAAACUAUCCCUCUUCUUUUAACGAACGCCAUCUGGUUCAAUAAAACUUAUGACUUUCGGUUGCAUAGCCUAUUCGCAAGAAUUUCUUCGUAUUCCUCGUUAAAUAAAACCAAAGUUCCACUACAACCAAGGAAAGAGAUAGAUCACAUCUUGGCCAAAUGCCAAUCCUCCUAGUUUGAAAGAGAAAAAGAGUGGAGAUGUGCGAAAAAAGAUCACUCCUAACUAACCAGUCAAGUGAAAGGAGCCCGCUUACCCACUCCCCUUUCCCCCCAUUGCUAGGAGCCUCGCCCUCUUGA